rnacentral:rRNA from 1 species
GUGGGGAAUCUUCCGCAAUGGACGAAAGUCUGACGGAGCAACGCCGCGUGAGUGAAGAAGGUUUUCGGAUCGUAAAGCUCUUUCGUUAGGGACGAACGUGCUCUUUGUGAAUAAUGAGGAGUAAUGACGGUACCUAAAUAAGAAGCCACGGCUAACUACGUGCCAGCAGCCGCGGUAAUACGUAGGUGGCAAGCGUUGUCCGGAAUUAUUGGGCGUAAAGCGCGCGCAGGCGGGAUAUCAAGUCUGUCUUAAAAGUGCGAGGCUCAACCCCGUAUUGCGAUGGAAACUGGGUUUCUUGAGUGCAGGAGAGGAAAGGGGAAUUCCUAGUGUAGCGGUGAAAUGCGUAGAUAUUAGGAAGAACACCAGUGGCGAAGGCGACUUUCUGGACGAAAACUGACGCUGAGGCGCGAAAGCCAGGGGAGCGAACGGGAUUAGAAACCCUGGUAGUCC